AGGCACGUAGCUUAGUGGUCAGGGUGAUCGGCUCAUAAUCGAAAGGUCAUGAGUUCAAUUCCCAGCGGGGCGU
rnacentral:tRNA from 1 species